rnacentral:rRNA from 1 species
GCCCUUUUCCGGUUGAUCCUGCCGGAGGCCAUUGCUAUCGGAGUCCGAUUUAGCCAUGCUAGUCGCACGGGUUUAGGCCCGUGGCGAAAAGCUCAGUAACACGUGGCCAAGCUACCCUGUGGACUAGGACACUCUCGGGAAACUGAGGCUAAUCCUGGAUACAGCUUCCAACCUGGAAUGGUGGAAGCUCGAAAUGCGUUCGCGCCACAGGAUGUGGCUGCGGCCGAUUAGGUAGACGGUGGGGUAACGGCCCACCGUGCCAGUAAUCGGUACGGGUGAUGAGAGUCAGAGCCCGGAGACGGUAUCUGAGACAAGAUACCAGGCCCUACGGGGCGCAGCAGGCGCGAAACCUUUACACUGCACGACAGUGCGAUAGGGGGACUCCGAGUGCGAGGGCAUACAGUCCUCGCUUUUCUGUACCGUAAGGUGGUACAGGAACAAGUGCUGGGCAAGACCGGUGCCAGCCGCCGCGGUAAUACCGGCAGCACGAGUGAUGGCCGAUAUUAUUGGGCCUAAAGCGUCCGUAGCCGGCCGGGCAAGUCUGUUGGGAAAUCCACGCGCCCAACGCGUGGGCGUCCAGCGGAAACUGCCUGGCUUGGGCCGGAAGACUUGAGGGGUACGUCCGGGGUAGGAGUGAAAUCCUGUAAUCCUGGACGGACCGCCGGUGGCGAAAGCGCCUCAAGAAGACGGACCCGACGGUGAGGGACGAAAGCCAGGGUCUCGAACCGGAUUAGAUACCCGGGUAGUCCUGGCCGUAAACGAUGUCUGCUA